rnacentral:rRNA from 1 species
ACUCWUACGGGAGGCAGCAGUGGGGAAUAUUGSACAAUGGGCGCAAGCSUGAUCCAGCCAUACCGCGUGGGUGAAGAAGGCCUUCGGGUUGUAAAGCCCUUUUGUUGGGAAAGAAAUCCAGCUGGUUAAUACCCGGUUGGGAUGACGGUACCCAAAGAAUAAGCACCGKCUAACUUCGUGCCAGCAGCCGYSGUAAUACGAAGGGUGCAAGCGUUACUCGGAAUUACUGGGCGUAAAGCGUGCGUAGGUGGUYGUUUAAGUCUGUUGUGAAAGCCCUGGGCUCAACCUGGGAACUGCAGUGGAAACUGGACGACUAGAGUKUGGUAGAGGGUAGCGGAAUUCCYGGYGUAGCAGUGAAAUGCGUAGAGAUCAGGAGGAACAUCCAUGGCGAAGGCAGCUACCUGGACCAACACUGACWYUGAGGCASGAAAGCGUGGGGAGCAAACAKGAUUAGAUACCYUGGUAGUCCMCGCCCUWAACGAUGCGAACYGGAUGUUGGGUGCAAUUUGGCACGCAGUAUCSAAGCUAACGCGUUAAGUUCGCCGCCUGGGGAGUACGGUCGCAAGACYGAAACUCAAAUSAAUUGACGG